CGGCCAGCGCGGACCUCCUUCCCUCCCUUCCUCCCGCCUCCCUUGCCCUUCUAGCUCAGGAGUGUCUGAACUCGAUGGUUUCCUGCGCCGCGCCGGCCGCUCUAGCCGCCCCUGGCUUUCAGCUUUGGGUUUCCGGCUCCGUUCUGGCGUUUCUGGGCCCUCUGAUUUGCAAAGACGCGCUCGCACGUGGACGGGAGCGUGGACUCUGCGAUCCUGCCCUCCUGACCCGUAUGUUCGAGGAGCCUGAAUGGGCCGAAGCGGCCCCAGUAGCCGCGGGCCUCGGGCUGGUAACCCCACGUCCUCGACUCGCGGCAACCUCUCAAGUCAAGGGCUCCAAGCGCCGCCAGCUCUUGGCCACAUUACGGGCCCUGGAGGCAGCAUCUCUUUCCCAGCAACCCCCCAUCCUACCUGGCAGUGACUCUGAGGAGGAGGAGGUGGAAAGGAAGAAGAAACGCCCCCAAAAGACCUUGUUUGCCAAUGCCUCUACUGAAGUAGGGGAGAAAAAGAAGAAGAAAUGUCAAAAACAGGGCCCACCUCGCAGUGACUCUGAGAAAGAGGAAGUGGAAAGGAAGAAGAAAUGCCACAGAGGGGCUCUCGACAGUGACUCUGCUGAACAGAAAAGAAAGAGGAAAUGUCAGAAACAUGCCCCUUCAAACCCAGCCCAGCACCUGGACAGUGUUGAGCCAACAGGUCCCAAAACCCAGAAGAGUGGUGCUACAGAUGACCCACCCAUGCCAAGCCUUGGGUCCACUUCCCCUAAACCUCCUCAUACCUUGAACCGCAAGCAGUGGCGGAACCGGCAGAAGAACAAGCGGAGACAUAAGAACAAGUUUCGGCCACCUCAGAUGCCAGACCAGUCUCCAGCUGAGGUCCCCACAGAGGAGACAGAGAUGCCUCCUACCCCUAAGCCAGACAGCCAUGAAGCCCGGGCGGGGGCUCUGCGAGCUCGCAUGGCACAGCGGCUGGAUGGGGCCCGAUUUCGCUACCUCAAUGAACAGCUAUACUCAGGGCCCAGCAGUACUGCACAGCGCCUCUUCCAGGAAGACCCUGAGGCUUUUCUCCUCUACCACCGCGGCUUCCAGAACCAAAUGAAGAAAUGGCCACUGCAGCCAGUGGAUCGCAUCGCCAGGGAUCUUCGCCAGCGGCCUGCAUCCUUGGUGGUGGCUGACUUUGGCUGUGGUGAUUGUCGCCUGGCUUCAAGCAUCCGGAACCCUGUGCACUGCUUUGACUUGGCCUCUCUGGACCCCAGAGUCACUGUGUGUGACAUGGCCCAGGUACCUCUGGAGGAUGAGUCUGUGGAUGUGGCUGUGUUUUGCCUUUCGCUGAUGGGAACCAACAUCAGGGACUUCCUGGAGGAGGCAAAUCGAGUGCUGAAGCCAGGGGGUCUCCUGAAAGUGGCUGAGGUCAGCAGCCGCUUUGAGGAUGUUCGGACCUUUCUGCAGGCUGUGACCAAACUGGGCUUCAAGGUCAUCUUCAAGGACCUGACCAACAGCUACUUCGUCUUGUUUGAUUUUCAAAAGACUGGGCCCCCUCGGGUAGGGCCCAAAGCUCAACUCUCAGGCCUGAAGCUUCAGCCAUGUCUCUACAAGCGCAGGUGAACUCUGGAACUCCCUUGAAAAGGGAGGCGGGGCUCGAACUCCAGGCUCAGAACUCUGAAGACUGUAUCCAGCCAGGCUGUGAGCCAGGAACUGGCCACACUGCCCCCAGAGCUCCUCAGCUCCUGACCUUGACAAUGUAUCUACAGUCUCUAGCGCCAGCAUGCCUCACCCUAGCAGGCAGCCCUCCUGGAAGAGGUCCCAACAAACCCUCAAGACUGUUUACCUUUCAAGGAACCCACGGGAGACUCAUUCAUAUUUGUCCUGCCAGACAGUGCAAGUAUAGCCAACUAGUACAUGACUCUUCUCUCCUUGUCCUGCCACAGCCAGCCCGACUCUGACUUCUCCAUGUGAGAAGUAAGCUCCCAGUCCUCAUGAGUGAUUCAGGUUAUAUUCUCCCAAGAAUCCUCCACCCCAGUGGCCAUAAGGAGAGGUGUGUAUAAGUUUCUGAGCUUAGCAAGUCUCUAGCUAGAGAAUGUAACGCUGAAUGAAUGUAAUGUCCCUCCUUCUAAUGGGAACACAAAAUGUAUACAAGUGGUUCUGUUGGAGCCUUCCUGACUUGAUUUACGAUGAAGGGAAAAGCACUGCUCCUUUGCUUUGCAAGAAGUUCUCUCUAUUCCUAAAGAUAUCGGUCAAUGAAUCUUUCAUUUCUAAUCACCUAUACAAUAGAAAGAAUGAUAGUCUCUGGAUCAGCUUUACUGUCUGAGAGUAAAUCCUAUGUGGAUAUAUCUAGCACCAUUAUUUAGAAUGUAUUGGUACCUGUUGUCUCUUGUCCUUAGUUUUGGUGUGUUAUCCAAAGAUGGUUAAGAUCCUCUUUCUCAUGCAGGUACGCUUGUAAAGUGUGAAUUGUUCUUUUGUGUGCUUUCUUUUCCUUUUUCCUUUUUUUUUUUUUUUGGCAGCUGGCCAGAACAGAGAUCCAAGCCCCUUGGUGUUAAACACCAUGCUCUAACCAACUGAACUAACCAGCCAGCCCUUGUGUGUUUUAUUUAUAUAGAGAGUAUUGUCUACAAAUCUUGUCUUAUUUCUUACUUUUUUUUUAAUUACUCAACUGUGUUUUAAAUAUGUAUCCAUGUAUAAAUCAGGACCCAGUCAGGAAAAUAGAAAACACACUAUUUCAAGAAGAGGCAUUUAAUAUAUAGAAUUGAUUACAAGUAUUAGAAGGUUGAAAGAGUAGGAGGAAGAUGCUGACAUAAACAAAAUUAAUAACUACAGAAAUCAGUUAACAUCCCAAAGCCUGGGAAAACAAAAGGGAAGAGGUAGUGUGAUUACCAGAGAGUAAGAACUUAGAGUAGGGUCCUCCUUUGACUGAUGCUGAGACUUUUGUGGGGGAAGCUCCCUCCACAUAUGUGGUGCUUGGACCUCUGAGAAAAGGCAUGGCGCUGAGGGUGGGGGAAGCAAGAGCUCUGGUUUCUGACUGCCAAGGGGGUAGCUGUUUUGCUGCUAAUAUUUCUGAGAAGUGUGGCAAAGCUGAUGCUGAGUGCAGAACAAUCUAGUAGCUGGAGCCAACUGUCUACAGCUGAAGUAAUGUGACAGCAACUGGAAAACAGUAAUGAAGUCUCUUCCAAUCUUUCAUUUUCACUUUCUCUUUAGAGCUUCUCAUUGGGAGAACCUAACAGGAAACCAGUUGGCAGUAGAUUCUGGGAAAUAUAGUUUGCAGACUUGUACCCACAGCAACGCAACUAAGUGUGUGUUUGCAUUGCAGGGUGAGACAGAGAGAGGCUAGGAGCUGAAAGAAAAUAGGUAAAUAACCAGUAUAAUCCAUAUAGCUACUCAUAUAUCUAGUUUGUUGCUUCUGUCAGCUGGGAGUAUUACAUAGUAUGCACUCACCAUAGUGAACUUAUCCAUUCACCUGGUUGCUUCAAAUUCUUUGCUGCCUGUGGAAAUUAAAAUCCUUGAAGCUAGGGUUCUAAAAUAAGUUCCACUGAUUACAUUCACUCAUUUUAAUUUUGGGAGGUAAGGGUUGUUUUCCUGCUGGAAGCAGUUUUAUGUAGAUGUUGGGCUUUCUGCAGCAGUAUUCCAGCUUCGAAAACCUGCAGCAUUUCCAUUGAAGCUAAUAAGGAUGCCUAAUGUAAUGACUAAAGUUCAACACAGGACUGGAAGUUCAACUGGUAAAACUACUCUGUAACAGUCCAAGUUUCAAUAAACUAGUUAAGAACAUAAACUA